UGGUUCCUACAGGGCGCAGCAGUGAGGAAUAUUGGUCAAUGGGCGGAAGCCUGAACCAGCCACGUCGCGUGAGGGAAGAAGGCCCUGCGGGUCGCAGACCUCUUUGGACGGGGAGCAAGGCCGCCGACGUGUCGGCGGAAGGAGAGUACCCGUAGAACAAGCAUCGGCUAACUCCGUGCCAGCAGCCGCGGUAAUACGGAGGAUGCGAGCGUUAUCCGGCUUUAUUGGGUUUAAAGGGUGCGCAGCCGGCACGGCAAGCCUGCGGUCAAAUCGCGGGGCUCCACCCC
rnacentral:rRNA from 1 species